UACGUAGGGGGCGAGCGUUGUCCGGAUUUAUUGGGCGUAAAGAGCGUGUAGGCGGCCAGGUAGGUCUGCUGUGAAAACUCGAGGCUCAACCUCGAGACGUCGGCGGAAACCAUCUGGCUAGAGUCCGGAAGAGGAGAGUGGAAUUCCUGGUGUAGCGGUGAAAUGCGCAGAUAUCAGGAGGAACACCGGUGGCGAAGGCGGAUCUCUGGGCCUGUCCUGACGCUGAGGCGCGAAAGCUAGGGGGAGCGAACAGG
rnacentral:rRNA from 1 species